UACGGAGGGUGCAAGCGUUAAUCGGAAUUAUUGGGCGUAAAGCGUGCGUAGGCGGUUUGUUAAGUCUGUUGUGAAAUCCCCGGGCUCAACCUGGGAAUGGCAAUGGAUACUGGCAGGCUAGAGUGUGUCAGAGGAUGGUGGAAUUCCCGGUGUAGCGGUGAAAUGCGUAGAGAUCGGGAGGAACAUCAGUGGCGAAGGCGGCCAUCUGGGACAACACUGACGCUGAGGCACGAAAGCGUGGGGAGCAAACAGG
rnacentral:rRNA from 1 species